GGGCCCGUAGCUCAGUUGGUAGAGCAGCUGACUCUUAAUCAGUAGGUCACAGGUUCGAAUCCUGUCGGGCCCACCA
rnacentral:tRNA from 1 species